UACGUAGGGUGCAAGCGUUAAUCGGAAUUACUGGGCGUAAAGGGCGCGUAGGCGGGAUGCAGUCGGUCGUGAAAUCCCUCGGCUCACGAGGAACGUCGAUCGAUACUGCUGUUCUUGAGGAUUGCAGAGGAGACUGGAAUUCCGGAUGUAGCGGUGAAAUGUGGUAGAGAGUCGGGAGGAACACCGGUGGCAAAGGCGGGUCUCUGGGCAAUUCCUG
rnacentral:rRNA from 1 species